GCCUGGCUGGCUCAGUCAGUGGAGCGUGAGACUCUUGAUAUUGGGGUUGUGAGUUCAAACCCCAUGUUGGGUG
rnacentral:tRNA from 1 species